GAUUAACGCUGGCGGCGCGCCUAACACAUGCAAGUCGAGCGGAAAGGCCCUUCGGGGUACUCGAGCGGCGGACGGCUGAGUAACGCGUGGGAACAUGCCCCAAAGUGAGGAAUAACUGCCCGAAAGGGUAGCUAAUGCCGCAUAUGAUCUUCGGAUUAAAGGAUUUAUCCGCUUUGGGAGUGGCCCGCGUACGAUUAGGUAGUCGGUGAGGUAAAGGCUCACCAAGCCUACGAUCGUUAACUGGUCUGAGAGGAUGAUCAGUCAGACUGGAACUGAGACACGGUCCAGACUCCUACGGGAGGCAGCAGUGAGGAACCUUCCACAAUGGGCGAAAGCCUGAUGGAGCGACGCCGCGUGCAGGAUGAAGGCCUUCGGGUUGUAAACUGCUUUUAUAAGUGAAGAAUAUGACGGUAACUUAUGAAUAAGCACCGGCUAACUACGUGCCAGCCGCCGCCUAA
rnacentral:rRNA from 1 species